AUUGAACGCUGGCGGCAGGCCUAACACAUGCAAGUCGAACGAGUGGCGGACGGGUGAGUAAUGUCGGGGAAACUGCCUGAUGGAGGGGGAUAACGACUGGAAACGGUAGCUAAUACCGCAUACCAUCGGAUGUGCCCAGAUGGGUUUAGCUAGUAGGGGGGGUAAAGGCUCACCUAGGCGACGAUCCCGAGCUGGUCUGAGAGGGUGACCAGCCACACUGUGACUGAGACACGGUCCAGACUCCUACGGGAGGCAGCAGUGGGGAAUAUUGCACAAUGGGCGCAAGCCUGAUGCAGCCAUGCCGCGUGUGUGAAGAAGGUCUUCGGGUUGUAAAGUACUUUCAGCGGGGAGGCGUUACCCGCAGAGGAAGCACCGGCUAACUCCGUGCCAGCAGCCGCGGUAAUUC
rnacentral:rRNA from 1 species